rnacentral:rRNA from 1 species
GCGGCAGGCCUAACACAUGCAAGUCGAGCGGUAGAGAGAAGCUUGCUUCUCUUGAGAGCGGCGGACGGGUGAGUAAUGCCUAGGAAUCUGCCUGGUAGUGGGGGAUAACGUUCGGAAACGGACGCUAAUACCGCAUACGUCCUACGGGAGAAAGCAGGGGACCUUCGGGCCUUGCGCUAUCAGAUGAGCCUAGGUCGGAUUAGCUAGUUGGUGAGGUAAUGGCUCACCAAGGCGACGAUCCGUAACUGGUCUGAGAGGAUGAUCAGUCACACUGGAACUGAGACACGGUCCAGACUCCUACGGGAGGCAGCAGUGGGGAAUAUUGGACAAUGGGCGAAAGCCUGAUCCAGCCAUGCCGCGUGUGUGAAGAAGGUCUUCGGAUUGUAAAGCACUUUAAGUUGGGAGGAAGGGUUGUAGAUUAAUACUCUGCAAUUUUGACGUUACCGACAGAAUAAGCACCGGCUAACUCUGUGCCAGCAGCCGCGGUAAUACAGAGGGUGCAAGCGUUAAUCGGAAUUACUGGGCGUAAAGCGCGCGUAGGUGGUUUGUUAAGUUGGAUGUGAAAUCCCCGGGCUCAACCUGGGAACUGCAUUCAAAACUGACUGACUAGAGUAUGGUAGAGGGUGGUGGAAUUUCCUGUGUAGCGGUGAAAUGCGUAGAUAUAGGAAGGAACACCAGUGGCGAAGGCGACCACCUGGACUAAUACUGACACUGAGGUGCGAAAGCGUG